ACGAGCGCACCCUUAUCCCUAGUUGCCAGCACACCAUGGUGGGAACUCUAGGGAGACUGCCGGUGACAAACCGGAGGAAGGUGGGGAUGACGUCAGGUCAUCAUGGCCCUUACGGCCAGGGCUACACACGUGCUACAAUGGCGCGCACAGAGGGCUGCAAACCCGCGAGGGGGAGCUAAUCUCACAAAACGCGUCGUAGUCCGGAUCGCAGUCUGCAACUCGACUGCGUGAAGUCGGAAUCGCUAGUAAUCGCGAAUCAGAAUGUCGCGGUGAAUACGUUCCCGGGCCUUGUACACACCGCCCGUCACACCAUGGGAGUGGAUUGCACCAGAAGUGGUUAGUCUAACCUUCGGGAGGACGAUCACCACGGUGUGGUUCAUGACUGGGGUGAAGUCGUAACAAGGUAGCCGUAGGGGAACCUGCGGCUGGAUCACCUCCUU
rnacentral:rRNA from 1 species